GAUGAAGAACGUAGCGAAAUGCGAUAAGUAAUGUGAAUUGCAGAAUUCAGUGAAUCAUCGAAUCUUUGAACGCACAUUGCGCCCCCUGGUAUUCCGGGGGGCAUGCCUGUCCGAGCGUCAUUACAACCCUCAAGCUCAGCUUGGUGUUGGGCCCCGCCGCCCCGGCGGGCCCUAAAGUCAGUGGCGGUGCCGUCCGGCUCCGAGCGUAGUAAUUCUUCUCGCUCUGGAGGUCCGGUCGUGUGCUUGCCAGCAACCCCCAAUUUUUUUCGGGUUGACCUCGGAUCAGGUAGGGAUACCCGCUGAACUUAAGCAUAUCAAUAAGCGGAGGA
rnacentral:misc_RNA from 1 species